CCCUCCUUGGGGACCUUUCUUUCUCACGUCAAUCUUCCCCAUUUCCAUACAGUUUACUCUUCCCUUAGAAAUUAGACACCAUCAUAAGGAAUAAAAACUGUUUAAAAACCUGUAGAGCAUACCUGUUUCCUCCGAGAGUUGCAACUAAAAAGCAAAAGUGCAGUGACACAGAAUUACAUGGGCAUCCUCCUCCUGGGAACUCAUCUGCUAGCAUUUGACAUGGACUCAGUCAGAGGGAUGCUGCUGCAGCUGCACAAAUUGCUGCAGUGAAACCUCGGAGUUUCUGUCAGACUGCUGGAUGAAAUCGCAGCUUCCUUGCUCCUGUGUGCUCCGGCUCCCUUUCAGCUCCACACAAGCAGCCUGCCCUGCAGAGAGCUUGGCCCAGCUAUCCUUGCUGAAGUUGGAUACUGAAGUCCUACAAAUGCAGAGUCAAAAGACAGCAAGAGAAAGGAUGAGCAGUGUAGUGUCUCCUGCGGAGAAUUCUACAGCAGAGCCCCCAUAAAGAGCUCCCAAGUGUCUGCUUUGCUGGCAAGCAACAAGUCUCCAGCAGCUCAGUAGAGUUUGCUGCAUAAUUUUCUUUUGGCCAUAAUGUUUCUGUGGUGUGCAACAUUGCCCACUAACUCUUUUUGUGUCAUUGAACAGUAAGAAGUGGAUAACAACCAUCUUCUUUUUCACUUUUCCUCUCUACUAAUGGGCAAGAAGACUUGGACUAUCUGUGAGCCAGCUUGUUUUCAGCCACAGGAGGAAGCAGAAGGAACAGUCUUAUACUCUAAAACAGGAACAGGGAACAUAUAUAUAGCCAACCCCUACCACCCACUAUAGGCAAUUUGUGCAUAUAAAAGCAUGUUGCUGAAGAAAUACCCCAAGACCACUUUUUAAAUGAAAACAUGUGAGUUCAGAAAUUGUAACUCUUUUCUUCCACUCUUUGUUUGCCACAUAACUGUGUAUACCACCACUGACAUUUCCUCACUAUCUGCAAGUAGAUUUGCAUGCAGAGAGCUUUUUAAAUUGAGGUUUCAGAUUAAUAUCACAGGAAAUUUAAAUUUUUAGAUCUGAAGCAAUAAAUCAGAUUGGAGGCAGUGCA
rnacentral:lncRNA from 1 species